rnacentral:rRNA from 1 species
AACGAACGCUGGCGGCAUGCCUAACACAUGCCAGUCGAACGAGACCUUCGGGUCUAGUGGCGCACGGGUGCGUAACGCGUGGGAACCUGCCCUUAGGUUCGGAAUAACUCCCCGAAAGGGGUGCUAAUACCGGAUAAUGUCUUCGGACCAAAGAUUUAUCGCCUUUGGAUGGGCCCGCGUUGGAUUAGCUAGUUGGUAGGGUAAAAGCCUACCAAGGCGACGAUCCAUAGCUGGUCUGAGAGGAUGAUCAGCCACACUGGGACUGAGACACGGCCCAGACUCCUACGGGAGGCAGCAGUGGGGAAUUUUGGACAAUGGGCGAAAGCCUGAUCCAGCAAUGCCGCGUGAGUGAUGAAGGCCUUAGGGUUGUAAAGCUCUUUUACCCGGGAUGAUAAUGACAGUACCGGGAGAAUAAGCUCCGGCUAACUCCGUG